rnacentral:rRNA from 1 species
UUUAACAUGAGAGUUCGAUCCUGGCUCAGGAUGAACGCUGGCGGCGUGCUUAACACAUGCAAGUCGAACGAGCUUUAUGGCCACGAUCCCUUCGGGGUGACGGCCGUAAAGCGAGUGGCGGACGGGUGAGUAACGCGUGGAUAACCUGCCAUAUACUGAGGGAUAACAGCUGGAAACAGCUGCUAAUACCGCAUAAAACUGUGGGACCGCAUGGUCCUGCAGCCAAAGCUCCGGCGGUGUAUGAUGGAUCCGCGUCUGAUUAGGCAGUUGGCGGGGUAAAGGCCCACCAAACCGACGAUCAGUAGCCGACCUGAGAGGGUGACCGGCCAC